rnacentral:lncRNA from 1 species
GGGAAAACAACAGAAACGCCCUUUGGUCUUUGCAGGUUCGUGCACGAUCCCACCUCUGCCGCUGUGGCAGAUGGCUGCAUCAGCUGAAUGUGUAACGCCGUGGGGGUCCCACAGCCACGUGCUGCACAGGAGGAAUUACAAGUGUCGUAUUUGUUUUCUUCUGAAAUAUACGGCUGGGGACCACACACUGGAAGCAGAGGACCCUGAGGUGUUGUCCUUGCCUGAGACGGGCUCUGCUGCGAGACAUACCCAGAUGGUCAGGAUGACCUGUCAGCAAUGGCCUCGUUUAAGGUUAUCUUUGGUAAGUUCUGCAGGCCCAGGGGGCAGAAUUAAUGGCUUGAUGGAUCGUGUGUUUUUUGUAUGCAGUAGGAUGAGAAAAAUAUUCCUACAUGCAUUCUAA